GGAGUUAGCCGGUGCUUCUUCUGUGAGUGAUGUCCUUCCUGCCGGCUAUUAACCCGCAGGCCUUCUUCCUCACUGAAAGUGCUUUACAACCCGAAGGCCUUCUUCACACACGCGGCAUGGCUGGAUCAGGGUUGCCCCCAUUGUCCAAUAUUCCCCACUGCUGCCUCCCGUAGGAGUCUGGGCCGUGUCUCAGUCCCAGUGUGGCUGAUCAUCCUCUCAGACCAGCUACGGAUCGUCGCCUUGGUGAGCCGUUACCUCACCAACCAGCUAAUCCGACAUAGGCUCAUCCGAUAGCGCGAUGCCCGAAGGUCCCCCGCUUUCCCCCGUAGGGCGUAUGCGGUAUUAGCCUGGGUUUCCCCAGGUUAUCCCCCACUACCGGGCAGAUUCCUAUGCAUUACUCACCCGUCCGCCGCUCGCCACCAGGGAGCAAGCUCCCCGUGCUGCCGCUCGACUUGCAUGUGUUAGGCCUGCCGCCAGCGUUCAAUCUGAGCCAUAAUCAAACUCUGA
rnacentral:rRNA from 1 species